rnacentral:rRNA from 1 species
UACGUAGGGGCCGAGCGUUGUCCGGAUUUAUUGGGCGUAAAGCGCACGUAGUCGGCUUUGCAAGUCGGUUGUGAAAUCCCUGGGCUCAACCUGGGAACUGCAUCCGAGACUGCAUUGCUAGAGUAUGGGAGAGGAAAGCGGAAUUUCUGGUGUAGCAGUGAAAUGCGUAGAUAUCGGGAGGAACACCAGUGGCGAAGGCGACUUCCUGGCCUGUUCUUGACGCUGAGGCGCGAAAGCUAGGGUAGCAAACGGGG